AGUUCCAUAGUGUAGCAGUUAGCACGUCUGCUUUACAUGCUGAAGGUCCUGGGUUCACACCUACUGGAGCCA
rfam:Pteropus alecto contig169491, whole genome shotgun sequence.